AUGCCUGUUCGAGCGUCAUUUCAACCCUCAAGCCCGGCUUGGUGUUGGGCCCCGCCGUCCGCGGCCGGCCCUAAAGACAGUGGCGGCACCGCAUGGCCCUGAGCGUAGUACAUCUCUCGCUCCAGGCCCCGCGGUGGCCUGCCAGAACCCCCAACUCUGUGGUUGACCUCGGAUCAGGUAGGGAUACCCGCUGAACUUAA
rnacentral:misc_RNA from 1 species